rnacentral:rRNA from 1 species
AGGGCACCACCAGGAGUGGAGCCUGCGGCUUAAUUUGACUCAACACGGGAAAACUCACCCGGCCCGGACACCGUAAGGAUUGACAGACUGAGAGCUCUUUCUUAAUUCGGUGGGUGGUGGUGCAUGGCCGUUCUUAGUUGGUGGAGCGAUUUGUCUGGUUAAUUCCGAUAACGAACGAGACUCUGGCCUAUUAAAUAGACGGUAUAUCGAAAAGUAUAUCGCGCUUCUUAGAGGGACAAGCGGCGUCUAGCCGCAUGAAAUAGAGCAAUAACAGGUCUGUGAUGCCCUUAGAUGUCCGGGGCUGCACGCGCGCUACACUGAAAGAAUCAGCGUGCGCUUUACCUAGUUCGGAAGAACCGGGUAACCCAAGUAAAUUCUUUCGUGCUUGGGAUAGGGAAUUGCAAUUAUUUCCCUUAAACGAGGAACUCCCGGUAAAUGCGGGUCAUAAGCUCGCGUUGAUUACGUCCCUGCCCUUUGUACACACCGCCCGUCGCUACUACCGAUUGGAUGACUUAGUGA